UUCCUCACAAAAUACAUAUAUAUACAUAGAGAGAGAAAUUAUGAUUAAAUAUCAGUGUGGGAGGAGUAGGGGAAAAAGGCAGUGCAGAAGGGCAACAGUUAAAUGUCCUGGCCCGGCUGUCUUUGGUAGAAUGUAUUGUCUACUCCUACGGGACACAUAUGUUGGGACCCAGCAUUUCUAGAAAGAGAUGGAAAAGGCAAACAAAGCAAUCAAUCAAGAAUAAUGAAGAGCCAAUUUUACUGAAUGAUCUGGAUACACUUUAAAGUGGCACAUUUAGUAAAUGAUUUAUGUUUCUCUCUAAAGGUAACAGGAAGUCAAGUGGUAACCUGAGGAAUGUUCUAGAGAGAGUCAAACUCCCCAGAAGGAGGGAAUUACUUAGGGUCUAUUAAGAAUGCAUCAAAACAUUUUUUUUGAAGGGAUUAUUUACUUUUUAAAUUAUUUAUCUUUGGUGAUCAAAAUUCCUGCUCAGAUUUCUUCCACUAUGUAAAAGGAAAAAUGGGAUAAAAGUCAAGAAAAUAAAACUUCAGGUUAAUAUGGCAUCCCCACUAUUGUAAGAUGAUCAGAUUGUAGCUUGAAUGAAUCCUAAUAACUAAAGACAACUUUGGGUUAAUAAUAAUAGAUGUUAUUAAUAAUAACCCUAUUUAUUGGUUAAUAGUUAAUACUGAUGACUGAGUAAAUUAUUCAGUCUUACACCUAAUUUUCAAGCUUCAUUUAAGCCAGAACCCUGACACCUCCCCUGGUAGAGCUGGCAAAAUGAUCUAAAGACAAAGGCGACAUGGGAACGUCCUGCCUGAGUCACAGUGGGGAUUCUUGAGGUCCAAAAAGGAGCCGAGUGAACACAGCAGGAGAGCGGAUUUCCCAGUGCCCCCAAGAGAGAACAGAGGGCCUGCUUUUAAGAAAACAAAGCAGUUCUCUCCAUCCUAGUCCACGCUGACGUCAUCUCUCAAGGGUUGGUUACUCUGGUAUGAAGAACAAGGCUCUUCCCCCCCAAUUUGCCCCUCCUCCUGCAUUGCCUCCUCAUCGUGAGUCCACAACCUGCACACCUGCACAUGGCAGCCCUGAGUCACGCUUCACCCAUAUGCCUAAGCUAGAAACUUGGGGAUCAAUCGUGAUUUCCUCUACUUCUUCCCUCAUCCACUUCUCCCUCCCAACAGCUACUCCCUAGCCCCAAGCUGCUCCUGGGAGUAAGAGUGUUUGUCUCCUAGCAAAGAGCUUAAUAAACGUGUGGAAUAAAUAACCUGAUUUGAUAUAAUCUAUGAUUGACCUCUUUCCUCAAGGAGUGCUCUGCCAAGAAUGAGGAGAUGGAUACAAAAACUCCUUGUCCUUUAGGCUUUUCAGGUGCCACCUCCUCCAGGAAGCCUUCCACGUCCUCUCCCACCAAUCAGACUGGGGUAUGUGACCCUCCUCUGAUCUCCCAGAACACCCUGUGCUUACCUCUACCAAAGAACUGACAAUUCUGUCUUGCAACAGUUGUUUACUUGCCUGAGGCUCCUUCUAGUUGGGAACUUUUAUUCCUGGAGCCCCACUGCCUAGCAGGGUAUCCGGUGCAAAGCACAAAGACAAUGAAUGUGGUUGAAUGAAUGAAUGCCCCAAGGAAUUAGUGCCAUAAGAGACCACAAAGUGGCCCUAUGGGGAGACACACAAAGGAGCAGUGAGUUCUGUUAUUGAGGGAGUGACAGUGACAAACGUCUUUCUAAGUGGUCUUGAAAGAUGAGUUAGAGUUUCCUUAGAGAUCAAGGCAAGGAAGGGUAUUACUAGCAGAAGGAAUAGAGGCACAGAAGCACAUGGGCAAGAAAGCACAUGAAGUAUCUCAAACAACGGCAGCCUGGCAAGGCUCGAACACAGCAUUGAGUGGGAGGAAACGGGGCAGAUGUGUCUGGAAAGGGUGUGUCGGACCGGUUGUGAAAGACCUGGCAGGGGUUUGAAGACCGUGGAGCAGAAAGUCACUGAAGUUUGAAAGCAGAGUAAUAACAUGAUCAGAUCUUCAAAAGAAAAAAAAAAGAUCUUCUUUCCUUUUCGGUAACUAAAAGCCGUAGUUCCGCCUUCCUCCAUUUUUUACAUUUCUUGAUAGUUCAUGAGAAUAAAACAACAAAGGCCAGCGGAAGCCGUUCUUCUCUCCCUGCCUGGUCUGAACCGGGCGUGUUUUUUUUCUUCCCCUUGUUUCCUGGCCAGCCGUCGGGUGAAGCGAGUGCAUCAUACAGCUGGGAAAACACGAGCUUCUCCGGUUUGUUUGGCUCCGGAGCUAUGUGGGUGAGCGCGAGUCUGGGCAGUGUGUCAGCUUCUUCCUGAAAGUCCGGGUCAAGGAAGACCACGACACGACUUUGUUUACUUGAUUUUGCUUUCAGUGUCGAGAACGCUGGUUCCGAUGACUGCAAAGGUGUAUGCGGUCGCUGCUGGCUCACAGGCCUGUAAUUCCUUUGGAAAAAAAGAUCUGAUUGGGACAACUGGGACCUUAUUUUAAUACCUCAGUUCCUUUUGAAACACCAGAUGAAAAGUGAUGCGUUAUUUUCCCAGUGGCUUUUGUUCCUGGCUAACCAGACUGGUUUGUUGGAUCCUUGGGAGUCAUUCUGCGGGACUGGGUUUGCUGGGCUGGCAGAUUUGGAGGGGUCGACAAAGAGUGACCCGUCUGAAGCAACUCCUCUGGCUCAGACACUUGAAGUUACACUUAAUCAUCAAAUGUUUACCGAGGGCCUGCUGUGUGCCAGGCCCUGUACUAAGCACGGGGACACUGCGAGGAACGACACAGUUCCAGCAGAGCCCGGUAACUAGGCUAAAACUCAUCAAAAGCAAAAGCCAACUCUUGCUUCUCUUUCCAUCUCCCCAAGUGCCUAGUGCCGUGUCUAACUCCAGGCAGAGCCGCAACAAAAACCGAACGUCUGAACAAACAGCUAUACUCCAAUUUCACCCUACACGUGUUUACCAUGCACCUGCUAUGGCCCAUAUUGCCUCAGGUAGUAGAGAGACGGAGAAGAGAAAGGUCGGCUCACACCGCCACCUGCUCCCAGGCUGGUGGGGAAGACGGGAGCUAAAACAACUGUUCAGCCUGUACAAAUCUGAGCCUCAAGGAGCCCCAGAGCCCCUAAAGAUCUUCUUGCCCCAAGGUCCCUCCUCUGGCACCGCAGACCCCUCUACAAAAGGGGUGAUGGCUGGCACAGAAGAGAGAGUCCAGGAUGCUGCCCCAGCACUGGAUCCACUCUGAUCAGUUGAUGCUUUUGCCUCUUCUGUUGAAGAUAUUUUACCAUCAUUCCACAGAUAAUAAUAGAGGCACGAGCCGUUCAUACACGGGGAUGAGAGGAGGGAACGACUUCAGGACGUGAGAAGGGUGCCGGCUUCCAUCUGGAAAGGGAGCGUGUAACUUCCUGCAAAACCCAGUACAGCAGGUGACGUUUUGUUUCUAGGAGUCUAUUCAGAACCCCUGCCCCAUGAGCACAAGCAGGGGACCCCAGCUCAAGGAGCUGCCCACUCCAGAUGCAAGGGCACACCAUUACCUCCUGUCAACACUGUGGAGUCCAGAGGCAGAAAGUCAUUUUAGAAUGGAACUAUAAAACAUUUUAAUUUUUGAAGUUACUUUAAAUAUCGUUUUUAUUUCUUCCUGUUCUGGACCAACUAUUAUCCACAAGCCUAGUUUUGUAGCCAUCUUGGUUCAAGUAAUCUUGUUACCUGCUAAUCAUUAGCCUCACUCACGGGCAGUGGAGAGAGAGGGCCUCCCGAGAAGCAGUGUAAGAAUCUUGAGCACUAAUCCUCUGGGAGGGGGAUGAGGGGGCUUCCGUUGCCUUUCCAUCCCUUGCAAAGCUGACGCUGAGAGCCUAGAAAUAUGGAUCCUUCAACAUUCUGAGGAACUGAAAGAAGGAGAUAGAGAGGGAGAGAGGGAGAAAGGAAGGAAAGAAGAAAACAAGGAGACAGGGAGGGAGGAAAACAAUCAACCAAACAAAAAACACAGGAUGUUUCCUAAACCUCUCCUCAGAUUGUCAAGAUAUAGAUUCAAAAAGUCCUAAAGCUGGGAGGGCCAAUUUCCCACCUGUGAAAGCAGCAAACAUCGCCUGAGCCAGUUCUUCAAUGGGAACCACAAUUAUUCCAUGGAAACAUGUCAACAGUUCUCUGCUCAAGUCUACGAACAGAAACAGUGAAGCAAAUUACACUUGUCCGUACUCUCCAGAUAAUUGAAUUUGGCUUCUUAAAAUUCAGGUGUCAGCCUGUUGAGAAGAACAGGGUAGCUCCUUUAUUAACUUUUGUUUUCACCUCCUUUCACUCAAAGCAGGAUUUCGUAAUAUUAUUUUAAAAUAAAUUACUGGCAGAAGACUAGACUAGUGUCUAGUCACGUCUCCAGCCUCAUCUUUCCUCUCCUCUUGCUUUCCCCACAGACUACGGUGCUCCGUUCCUACACGGACACCACACCAUCGCGCCUCCAGGCAUGACCCAUGGCCCCUCUCCAGGGCCCCCCCCAACUUUUCCUGGAAGCGGGGUCUUCUCCAGGAUGAGCUUCCUCAGCUCCCUUCCUUCUGCUGCAUAAGGAGCCCUUCCUUUGUGCUCCUAUCGCACGCUCAGGGCAUCUCCAUCUGCACACUUAGCACCUUGCAUUGUAAGGACCAUGUCUAUGUGUGCGCCUGUCUUCCCCUCCCCCCGACACAGUGACUAGGCCUCACUCAUUUUUCACCUUCUUGAGGCCUCACCCACCUCCUGGAAAUAGUAGGUGCUUGCAUCAGCUAUCUAUUGCUGCAUAACAAAUGACCUGCUCAAAAUCUGGCAGCUUAAAGCAGCAGUUAUUAUCCCACAGUCUCUGUGGGUCAGGAAGUCAGGUGCAGGGGUGGCUCGGUUGGUGGCUGUGGCUCAGGUCUCUCACAAGGCAGUGACCCAGGGGUCGCCAGGCCACCACCAUCUCGAGGGCCAAGUGCAGGAGGGUUCGCUUCCCAGCUCACUCCUGAGGCUCUUGGCCUUAGAAAAUCGACUUCCAAGCUCGAUCACUUGGCUGUCAGAAGGCUCUAGGCCUUACCGGCUGUCAACUGAAGAUACUUCCUCAUCCUAUGAGGCUCUCCACAAUUACUCACAGCACGGCAGCUGGAUUCUGCCAGAGGAAGGGCCCAGAGAGAGCGAGAGAGACAGAGACAGAGACAGAGAGAGGGAGGGAGGGAGAGACGGAGCAUACGAGCAAGACGGGAGUCACGGCCAUCAUGUACCGUCAUCUCAGAUGUGACCUCCAUCACUUUCGCGGGGUUCCAUUUGUUAGAAGCAAGUCACCAGGUGCAGCCUCCUCUCAAGGGGAGGGGACACAUGAGGACGUGAACACCAGGACGGGCAUCACUGGGGCCAUUGCAGAGGCUGCUGCCAGCGCUCAGUAAACAGACUGAAUGAACAGAUGACUCUCUCUGGUCAGAGUGAAGCUCUCCUUCCAAGAAGAUCCACAGCUUUGGAACCCCUAUCGGGGGACAGAGCAUGGUGUGACUUUCAGUGAGCAUAUGUUCACACAGGCACCUGCAUAGAAGCAGUACCAAAUACACAACUGGCACCCAAUAGCUAAUUGUCGCCUGGGUGAAGAAAUGAAAGAACGGUUGACAGAGGCUAGCAUGUGUCCAUCACUAUUUGUUCUGCAAUAAAGGACCUGUGUCUUUUAGCUAGGCCCAUGGGCAUGCCACUGGAGACUGCAUUUCCCAACAUCCCUUACAGCCAGAGGUGGCCAUGCUCCCAAGUUUUGGCUACUGGGAUGUGAGGGUAACCCUGGUGAGCACUCGCCUUUCUCUCUUCCCCGACCUGGGAUACUGAGGUUUGGGUGGGACCGAAAGCAGGAACAUACACAGUGAAUGUGGGAGGACCACGCCAGCAGACUAUCCGUCUCUGGACUAGGACCUGAAGGAGAACUCAACUUCUGUCUUGUAAAAGCUCCUGCCCUGUAGGGUCUUGUUGUUGCAUCAGCGUAGAGUAUACCCAUCUGACACAGGAUGGAAAAGCAAGCAGGAAACACGACUCCACCACCCCUCCCAACCCCAGGGCGAGCCCCACGCUUGAAACACGCUGCAGGGGCCCCUUAAAUGUCUGUAGGGUGACACUGUGCCUGUGGACCUGUUGGGCUGUGUUGGUAGAGAAGAAAGCAGAGUUUAAGUCCCCACUUUCCUCCUGGUCAGGCAACUGCAGGCGUCUUGGGUUAACUCAGAAAACUCAGAGCUCUGAGGCUGCUCAGGGAAGCAGCCACCGCAGCACGGAGUGGCCUUAACUUUCCAAGGUCCAAGGCAGAAAGCCACCACAGAGAGCCAUAAGUCAGACGGAUUCUUCUCGAGGAAAACCUGUCCGGAUUGCGGUUUCCCCACAGGAGGUUGAUUUGUUUUCCCAAAAAGGAGAAGAGUUCUCAGCUCGGUCCCUGCGAAGGGCCACGCCAGCAGCCUCUCCAAACCCUUGCGGCCGUCAAGGGCAGGCGUCCCGUGGGGCGGCAGAGGUCACCGAGAGCCAGCAGCUGUCCACGCCUGGAGGAGCCACGCCUCUGCCUCAGUCUGGAACUGGACAGCAUCCAUGGCCUAAAACUGAAUGUUUUUAUUCCGUUUCUGUUCUUUUACAGUAUACGGCUAGAUGGCUCCAACCGACCCCACCCUCCAGUGCCAGAAUCAAACGCUCACCCAGCCAGAUGGUGUGUGCUGAGGCUAGCUCAAGGAGAUGACAAAACCUUGUUAAAACACAGGAAGGGGACCGGAAGGAAGUGGGAUAAGUCUGUCUUGCUUGGAUUGAAAAUCUGUUAAUAGGAUAGACACAUGCCAAGUAGACAGCAAUUUGAAGAUAUUUCUUUCUCACAGGAAGGCAAAUUUGAGAAACGAGGAGAGAAAGAAGGGGUGAGGGAGUCCAGGCUGAAGUCUACAGGCUCAUUUCUCUUGGAAGGCGGGGAAGUUUUAAAACUCCUACUAUUCCCUGGCCUUCAAGCAUUCAAGGUACUGAAGAAGAUAGCCGUGUCCUUUAGCAACGACGGUUCAAAUGGAAAUGUUCUCAGGCUGUUGGUAUAAGAGGAGGGAGAGAGCAAGUCUCACAGAAGGGAUGGCGUUCUGGAAGGGACUGGAGGAACUCCCCCUUGAAGGAUGAGGGAGAUUUUCCAGGUGGUCACAGGCAGAGAGGGAGGGCAUGGCAGGCAGGGAGUGGCACGAGCCACACUCCGGGGCUCUGAGAGCACACGUAGUUCUCGUGUGUGUUUCUGGAAUUCCCAGUGACCUAGGAAGGUGGAGUCACAGGGACGUGAGUCAGGUCUUUGACAGGAAAGAGUAGAGAUGACUUCCAUUAAUACUAUGGAGAAAAUAGUACACAAGAGAUGGAAGGAGAUGGGGAAGUGUUAACGGAGCAGAGAGAACAGAGGCAGAUCUGGCCCUGUGGAAGCCAGCUGUAACCGCAGCACGGGGUCAGCAACACGGCUGUGUAACUUGGUGGCUUAAGUCGCAGGCUCCUGAGUCAGCCCCCGCCUCAGUGUCCCACGGCUGCCGUAACAAAGUCCCACAAACUGAGAAGUCUGAGAUCCAAGUGUCGGCGGGGUUGGUUCCUCCUGAGGGCUGUGGGAGAGAAUCUGCUCCCUGCCUCUCCCCUAGCUUCUGGGCGUUUGCUGACCAUCUUCGGGGCUCCUCGGCCUGUAGGAGCAGCACCCCGCUCUCUGCCUUCAUCUUCGCACGGCAGUCUCCCUGUGUCCGUGUCUGUGUCCAAACUCCCCCCCUUUCAUAAGGACAUAGUCCUAGUGGGUUGGGCCCCUCCUAACGCCCUCAUUUUAACUUGAUUCCCUCUGUGGAGACUCCGUCUCCAAAUAAGGUCACAUCACUCCAAAUUAGGACGUCAACAUCUUUUUGGUGGGCACCGUUCCACCCAUUGCAGCCAUCUCGGUUUGAAUCCCAACGUGGCCACGCACCAGACUCCUUGGUCUUGCAAAAACUGCUUAACGUCUCUUAGCCCAGUAACGUGCCUAAAACAGAAUGAAGAGCACCCUUGGUACAAGCAUCAGUACCCAGGAGGGGCCUAAUAAGUGUCGGUGGUCACUCUUGGAUGCACAGAGGACCGCGUAUGGAAGUCAAGCCCUGGCGUCAUUCUAAUUCAGGGACGCAGGCAGAGGGCCCACUGACGGGCCAUCAAUCAUUUCACUCAUCUCCUUCCCGCACCCCUACCGCCGGUGCCUAGACUCUUAGAGCCUCAGGAAAGUUUUCUGCAGAUUACAACUCUGUAACUCAACUUAAUUUCAAUUUUGAGCCACAUAGCGCCAGGGUGACAGAAACAGAAACUGUCAGUUUGGGGUUUCCCUCUCUGUCUUCCUGGGAUUGUGGCUCAAUCUCAAUGAACCAUCCUGUGCCAGGACGCGGAGCAGAGGCACGGGGGCUGGGUCUUAUUUCUCAGUCUGCCAGGCUUCUGUGAGGACCCCACGUCCUGGUUGGUCCUGGGGCAACAGUCCUGUUCUCAUCUGAAGGCCACCUCGCCACCCCGAGGUCUGGAGGGGCUCUCUGCCAUCACCAUGCCAGGCACAGUUUCCUGCUGUUCCUCCGUGCCAGCCUGGAACACACUAGUCUCUGUGAGCCUCUCUGAGGCUUCAUCUCUGCAGUUACGCUCUCGGGGGCCUCCCUGUUUCCCCCAGGGCCCUACCCGACAACCACCCCUGCUCCUGGGCUCCCCAAAGUGUUCUGAGGACCUGUGGCCCCCGGAGCCCCUCCUUCGGAGACCACCCCACCUCUGCUCUCAUGAACUUCACCCUCGGCUGCCCCAGACCCCGCUGGGUUGGGGGAAUCCUAUCUCUCUCUCUCCUGUAUGUUCCCCAGACAUUUGAAGAUACCCCAACCCUUUCCGUUCCCUUAAAGCCUCGGGUUUUGGAAAGCAAAGCCAGGAAGAGACCUGUGGGCUCUCCGUGCCUUCCUCCCUGGGCCCCCCGCACUCCUGCCCCCCGGGGCAUGGAGAGUCUAUUGCCUUAAGUGGGAAUACCAGGAAAGGAAAAAAAAUAAAUAAGUUAAUAUUUAAAAGUUAUUAUCCCAGCUUGUUUCGGUGAAUAAAUAAAUGAAUGCGUGGCCCUGGCCCAGGGCGCUCGGGGGAGAUCCUGAGCCCACUUCACAAAAACCUCUCCCCCGAGGGAGGUUCCACUCGCACGGCCGUUCCCAGCAGGAGGGCCCAGAGCCCACCCCAUUCCCGCCCAGAAGGCCCGCUGGCGGCCGCCCCCCCGCCCUACGUGGCACCCCACGUUUCUGCCCCUGGGUGCCCAAGUGUGGCGGUGGUUCUAACAAGCACUUAGUCCUGCCACCUGGUAUUAUUUCAGUUAAUAUUUUACACGGCUGACCUCCUUACUCCCUGGAACCAGUUCUUACUCAACCUGUGCAGCAAAGAGAAAGCUCUGCCGCUUAUACCAGGUGACCUUGGACGACUUACCCAGCCUCGCUUCCCUCAUGGGAGAAACGGCAGAAAGAACACCCACCCAUCGGGCUGUGAGGGUUGAGUAACGUAACCUAAACAAAGGUUGGAGCCCUUGGCCUCAGUGCAGCCGCACUUGAAGAACUGCCCUUGUGGCUGGCUCGGUGGGCCCACCUGUGCCUCACUGUGCAGAGAGGGAGAGGCAGGCAUGCCACCAAUGUCACCACGCAGAAGGGACCCUGCACCCACCAGAAGGGCGAUCUCUAAAACCCCUUCGUGCCUUAAACCAUCACGAUCAAGAUUGGUGUUGACCUACUCAAUAACUAAGCUCUUAUGAAACAUCACUAGGAGCCUGGCAUUCUCAUACACCUGAAAAAGAGCUCCCCAGGGACACAGACGGGGACGGAAUAAUAAUGAAAUAGGCUAAAAUAACUGGGUUUAAACUGCUAUGGGAUCAUGGAGGGAAAUCAUUUGUGUGCUUGUGGUCAUUCAUUUAUUCAUACCACCUUCACAGUGCCCUGUGUUUCCAGAAAGGAUUGAAAGAGGCCUGGGAGAAAUAAGGACCUUUCCCCAAGAGGUCACUGUGAGCUUGGCACCGAAGGCGGUUAACAGGCAGAACAGUGAGGACAGAGAUUCUCCAGGCCCAGGAAGCAGCCCGUGCAGGGGCCUGGCCGUGUGGACAUGGCAGACCCACAAUGCUCUUCUCCCUGUCCAUCAGUGGUGCGCUCGAGCCAGCCAGGAGCAGCUCACGAGAGCUGAUGGCUAAAUUGUCGGGAAAUUUGCAAGCCAGUUAGUAGAUACAGUCAUUAAUAAAAAUUAAAUUAUGCAAACUUAUAAUUAAAUAAUUGUAAUAGAAACCAAGGUUAAAAAUAUCCAAACUCAUCACUUCUUAACUAUUUUACAUUUUCCUACUAUCUGUGCUGGAGGUCACUUACACCUGCUGUACCUGUAUGGUCGAGAUAUAUGCAUCAUAUUGUGCCACUGAGCACGUCUUCCCAAUUUCGUGUUUAACGAUGGCACGUUCAUAGCUUGCAAUCUGCCGUGGCAGGAAUAUUUACACCACCGAAACUGGCCGUUGCUACAAAUCAGGACAUUUUUUUCUCCCCGGAAAGCUAGUUAUUCACAUUUGCCAGCACACUGCUGCUAGCUGCCCUGUUUAAAGUCACCUUCCCACUUCCGGUCCCACUUACUCUGAUUACUUUCUCCACAGGAUGUAGUACGUUCUAAGAGGUUGCACCGUCUGUUCGGUAUCAUUAUUUUCUGUCUCACCACAUCAGAAUGUUGGCCCCAUCAGGGAAGGACUUUUUCCUGUGAUGUCCUUCAGGUAUUCCCACACCCAGGAGAGUGCCUGGCAGCCAGCUGGCACUCAUGAGUCUGUACUGGUGAACGCCGGCCUCUGCACGUCCCUCCCCAGCCCUGCGCUCGCCCAGCGGCGUCUCCCUGACCCGUAGGCUGACCUGGCUCGAGGCCACCCUCCCUCUCCCCGUCUGUGUCCCUGCAGGAGCCCCGCUGCCUACAGCCCGGGGGAGGUCUUGUGUAAAUGUGCACCUACGGCCCACGACUGGGCAUUUCUCUGGUCACAGGUCACAGGUCUCAGGUCUCUUAAUGACCCUGAGACCAGUGCCUUGAGACCUGGAAGGCAGCAGUUCCCAAGUGGCCCCAGACGGCAGCACCAGCAGCACCUUGUUAAAAUGCAAGCGCUCGGGCCCCACCCCAGACACCCUGAGUCAGAAACUCUGCGAGUGAGGCUGUCUUCGUCCAUCCAGGCUGCUGUAACAAAACAGUGCAGACCACGUGGCUCACCAACAGCAGAUGCAUACCGCUCACGGUCUCGGAGGCUGGAAGUCUGAGAUCAGGGCGCCAGCUCUGUGGUGAGAGGGCCCUCUUCCAGGUGGCAGACUUCUCAUUGCCUCCUUGAGUGGAGGAAGGGGUGAGGGAGCUCCCUGGGGGCCGUUUUAUGAGACCAGUAACCCCAUUUGUGAGGGUCUGACCUGGGUCUCAAAGGCCCCACCUCCUAGUACUGUCACCCGGGAGUUAGGUUUCAACGUGAGCGUUUGGGGGACCCAUUCAGAUCCCCGCAGAGGCCCAGAAAUCUGUGUUUCUGAGAUUCCUGUGUACAGUAAAGUUUGAGGGCCACGGGUCUGAGCCUUAGAAUUGUUCUAAGGUGGUGGCUCUCGAACGGGGCUGUUCGUCUGUGUCACUGCUCCCCCCCACCCCUAGGAGGCACUAGGCAGUGUCUGGGGACACUGUGGGUCACCACAGCUCCAAGGGGUUGGUGCUACUGGCAUCUCGUGGGUAGGGGCCAGGGAGGGUGCCCACAAUCCUACAACGCACAGGACAGUUCCCCCAUAACAAUGUCAGUGGUGCCGCCCGUGCCAUCCUCACUCCCACACACCCCUCCAGCCCUCCUUCCCUCCUUUCCUGUAACCCGUGCUCCGCACCCAGCAGCUGAUAACAACCGAUCCUCCACCCUAGGAGCCUGGGGCCCUGCCCCGCAUAGGAUUCUCUGCACAAGGAUACAGAUACUUCAGCCGACCUUUGCCACCCAGUGUGUUCUGUUACGUUUAGAGAAAUAUCCCGGAGGUGCUCCCAACCCAAGCUUGGAAGAUCAGGGAGGACUUCCUGGAGGAAGUGGCCUCUGUGCUCAGACUUGAAGGUGGAGCUACAACGAAUCAGGCGGCAGGUGGACAGGGGAUGGCUUUCCUUAUGCAGCACUUCCUGCCUUUCAGUCACUGUGCUGUGUUUUACUGUCACUGUCUCAUUCAACCCUAGACCCUCCGAAGCUGAUACUACUGUUAUCUCCAUUUUACAGAUGGGGACACUGAAGCCCAGAGACACUAAAUAACUUGCCUAAAGCCACACAGCUAGCAAAUGCUGACGCCGGGAUUUGCAUCCAGGUCUGCAGAUUGCAAAGCCUGACAGGAGGUGACUGCUAACUGUUUACAGAGGGCAAAGCGGGUAGACUGGGGACUUCUUCUAAAACACAGUUGACCCUUGUGCUAUGGGCUGAAUUGUGCCCCCCGCCCCAUUGGUAUGUUGAAGUCCCAACCUUCAGGACCUCAGAAUGUGACUAUAUUUGGAGGUGAGGUCUUUAAAGAGGUGAUGAAGUUAACUGUGGCCAUUAGGAUGAGCCCUAAUCCAAAAUGAUGGAUGUCCUCAUAAGAAGAGGGAAUGUGGGCACAGAAAGAGGCACCAGGGAUGCAUGUGUACAGGAAAGGCCACACAAGGACACAGCAAGCCAAGGAGAGAGGCCUCAGGAGAAACCAACCCUGCCAACACCGUGACCGUGGACUUCCAGCCUCCCGGACGGUGAGAAAGUGUAUGUCUGUGGUUAGGGCUCUCGGUCUGCGGGAUUUUGUUACGGCGGCCCCAGGAAACUAAUCCACCUCGCCUCUUCUUUUGGGACAACGCUUUGAUGGUGGGAAAACUUCAGCCAUAUUAAUUGUGUUUUGUUUUCUCUGCUGUAGAAUAAAAGAGAAUGAGCCACCUGGUGUCUGACACACACACACCCCCUCCCUCGGGGGCACCUGCUGGACCAAAGCCACUGGGAGACGACUGCUCUUCUUAGCUCUUGUGAGAGUCAAGAUUCUCUGCGGAGAUUGUGCGAAGUAUUGAUCUGCACGGAUUGGGGGAAAAACAAGCGCUCCUGGGCCACAGGUGAUUUGAGAAGCAGUGAAACAGUGAUAGCAGACCUCGGACUGCACCUGGGUAUCUGACUCCAUUCGGAUCUGCAUCUGGAUGUCACCUCCUCAGAGAAGAGGCUGUCUCCAGCCCUCUGUUUAAGGCCCAGUGUCCCUUCACUCUCUUCUGUGCUGUCCAGCAUGGUAGCCACUGCCCACCGUGCCUCCUGAGCACCCGAAACGUGGUUAGUGCCCGAGGUGUGAAACACACACUGGAUUAAAAGACUGAGUUUGAAAAAAAGAAUGGGAAAUAUCUCAUUUAUAAUGUUUACAUUUACUGUAUGCUGAAAUAAUAUUUUGGAUAUACUAUAUUAGGUUAAAUAAAAUAUAUCAUCAACGUGAAUUUCAUCUGUCUCUUCACUCUUUUACAUGUGGCUCCUAGGAAAUCCGGUGUGGCUUUCAUUACAUCUCUAUUGGACAGGGCUGUCCCCGCCCCGACAUGGCCUGAUUUCCUUCACAGGCACCAUCUCUGCCAGACAUUGCCUGAUGUAUUUAUGUUCCGUUUGUUGAGCAUCAGCGUCUCCCACUGGAAGGUGAGCUCCUGUUCACCACUCACCUCCAGUGCCCGGAACAGUGCCUGGCACAAACUGCAUACUGCAGAGCUGUGGUGCGAUGAGUGAACACAGGAGUGAACGACACCUGACAGACGACAGCGUCCCUCAGGCCCCUUUCAAAUUCAGCGCUGUAUCAUUUUGCAUGUUUGACAAUUUGCUUUCAAAUACGUUUUUGUAAAAAGUGGGAGGCGUGUGUGCAUAUUAAUCAAUGCCGUCUAGGUAGUUAGAUAAUAUUCAAAGUGCCCUACUUAGAAACCCACACUCUAAAGGAGACUGACUAAGCUUUUCGAAUAUAGCAAUGUACACUAGGAGUUUGCUGAUUCGCGUUAGGAAUGAAUCCCUGCUGGAGAAAGAGCAGUGUUCCAGGCAGCUCAGCUCGGGAGACUGUACAGCUCAACAUGCGUGCAGAGCGAGCGAGCAGAACCAGCACAUUUGGCAGCAUCGUACCCUGGCGGCCCUCGGGGACUGCGUGUCCUUUUACACUUGGCUGUCUACACAGUGGGUAGAUCCAGGGACGUCUACCUGGGAGGGAAUCUUUCAUGCAGGUGCUUAUGGGAUUCCUGCCUCCUACCCCUUACAUUUAGGAGACUUCAUUAUGGGUUUUGUUCCUAAAUUGCUAAUAAAUACAAAUCUGGCAGAAUUUGGCC